UCUUUCAUUAUUGAACAGACUUUGAUUUGAGAAUUAAUUCAGAGAGGCGAUUUGCUUCCAAACCUUUGUUCUUGGGGACUUUGAACUUAUCAAGGGACCAGUUGGGAUUUCUUGUGGCGUUCGCAACCUUGGGUGAGGUUCUUAAAUUGUGUAAUUAGGAGGUCUUCGAUUUAAUAUAUCGUUGGUUGCCUAAUUCAUCGUUCAGGAAUUAAAUCCGUAAACUUUGAAUCAAAUUGGCGUUCUUGGGAUUGGUGUUACUCUCGUGUGGGUUCGAUAGUUUUCAUUGCUAUCCGGAUUCGCAUCAGGUGGUAUCAGAGCUUAGGCUCCAGGUUCGAAGUUAUAUCUUUCAAUUUGUCGUGUUACAUCAGUUUUGUUGUUUUCCUUUCAUUCUUGUGUUCUUCGUCGUUCUUCGUUAGUCUUAUUUUAGAUCCGUCAAAAUAAAAAAAAUAAAAUAAAAAUAAAAAUAAUUCAAAGUUGUUUUUCGGGUUCAUCUAGAGUCCAAAUUCAAUUCUGUUUGUUGUGUUAGUGUCCUAAUUGUUUUCCCUUCGUAAGAGUCCACCGAAAAAAAUUACUGUUCAUCGUUGAUUAGUGUCUAAAAGUGCUUCAAAGAUAUAUCAUUUACAAGGCAUUUUACAUUCACUUUGUUUAAAAAUACUAAUGUUAGUCUCUAAUUUCAAUUCUCUUGCCGUAAAUUCAAUUUUCAUAAAUACAUGGUUAAAAAUCCAAUUAAUUGAAAUACGUAUUUAUAUACAUGUCGGCAUGAGUAUUAUACAUUUGAAAGAGUAUCUAUUUGAUGUAUUUCACAUGUAUUUUCAAUUUUCAGAUACUUUGUGUAGUGAAUUUGGAUUUAUGAUCAACAGAUAAAUUAUUUCCACUUGAGUUAGAUUUCCAUUGGUGCAAAUAUCAAGUUCAUUGGAUCUAUAUAACUCUAGAUAUGACAAAAACAAUGAGUACUUGCUUCACAGGUAGAAAAGUUGUAUUCGACAGGUAACAAGCUGGACUUUGCACGUAAUUUUGGCUGUCUUGUGAUACGAAUUUGACUUUUUGCAAAACAUGAAAGUUGUAGAAACAUGGGUUUACAACCUUAAAGUUGUAGCAAUCGUACUGUUCACGUCCGUAUCGUUGUCACUGUUCCAUGUGUCAAAAAAAUACAGUUCAUCUACUAUUCACGUGUAAAAAAAAAUUUUUAGUCCCUCCAAAAAUUUUAUUUAUCGUCUUAGUCAUUUAACUUCCUAAUUAUUGAGUUUUGAACAAUUAAUUAUUAUUCCAUGAGUUCAAAGCCACCUAUUGUUCUUGAGAACACUGACUGGAAGCAAUUGAGAGGUAAAAGGCUGAGUGGUGAGAUUAUUUGAGGGAAAAAGCCUAAAUUGAGUGAUUUUCGAGCGAUAUAAAAAGUGAGGCAUAUAAAAUUUAGUAUUUAGGAUGUCUUGCAGCGAAGGGUCAAACUCAAGUCGGGUUGGUGCUCAAACAAAUAUGGCGAAGGAUGUGAUGUGUAGGUUUGAGUGAAUGUUAAAGGAUAUGGGUGAUAGGAUAGAAAGGAUUGACACAUCAGUUAGCAAUUUGCGUAUGGAACAACAGGUUGAGGUGCCUAAUGCUAAGAGACUGGGACGGCAAGAACCGAGGAUGGAAUUGCAUGAUGAAUUUGGUUAUGGUGGUGAUGUGGAUGACGUUGGGUUCAAUGGAGUUGAAUUGGGUGGAAUGAGGAAUAAAGGAGACAGGUUUGAACAUCGGGGUCGAAAUAAUUAUGGAGAUGACAUGGAUGGAGGUAUGGGCAACAUCAAAAUGUCCAUUCCACCAUUUAAGGGUAGGAGUGACCCAGAGGCGUAUCUAGAAUGGAAGAAAAAUUUGGAGCUUAUCUUUGAGUGUUAUAAUUAUUCGGAGAAGAGAAAAGUGAAGCUUGCAGUUUUGGAGUUCACUGAUUACGCCAUCACUUGGUGGGAUCAGGUGAUCACUUCAAGGCGGAGGAAUGGCGAGACCAAUCCGGACAUGGGAUGAGUUGAAGGCAAUUACGAGGAAGAGGUUUGUACCUAGCCAUUACCAUAGGGAGGUUUAUCAAUAGUUGUAGGGGUUGAACCAAGGGUCGAGAACUGUGGAGGAUUACCACAAAGAAAUGGAAAUUUUAAUUAUUCUGGCUAAUGUGAAGGAGGACUAGGAAGCCACCAUGGCACGUUUCUUGAAUGGGAUGAACUGGGACAUUGCUAAUGUGGUCGAGUUGCAACACUAUGUAGAACUUGAAGACAUAUUGCAUGUGGCGAUGAAAGUGGAGCGGCAAUUGAAGAGGAAAGUGCCGGCUAGGACUCCAUCGGGUCAUAAUUCAUCUUGGAAGCCUAGAGUGGAAGAAGAAAGGGUUGAUGUGGCUAUGGAAAACAAUAAAACCGAUGCACCGAAGGCGAAUGAAGAGGUUGUUGGUAAUACUACAAACAAGCUGGGUUCACAAAAUCAUAGGAGUCGGGAUAUUACGUGCUUCAAAUGUUUAGGGAAGGGGCACAUUGCAUCUUAAUGUCCUAAUAAAAGAGCAAUGAUUUUGAGUGCCCACGAGGAAGUGGUUAGUGAUAGCGAUGGAGAUGGGAUGGCCGAGCUAGAGGAUAUAUUAGUGGUGGUGAAGUGGUGGAGUAUCCGGUGGACGGUGAAGCACUUGUGGUUAUGCGCAUACUCAACACUCAAAUCAAGGUGGAAGGAGAGGAGCAACAACAGGAAAACAUCUUCCAUACCCAAUGCCAAGUUGCAAACAAGGUAUGUGGGUUAAUAAUUGAUGGGAGAUGUUGUACAAACGUUGCUAGUACUAGGUUGGUUUAAAAAUUAUGUUUAACUACAACUAAACACACUAGGCCAUACAAAUUACAAUGGUUAGAUGACCGUGGAGAGGCUAAGGUGAAUAAACAAGUAGUUGUUAAUUUUUCUAUUGGGAGUUAUAAUGACGAGGUGUUGUGUGAUGUGGUUCCUAUGGAUGCAGUUCAUAUUUUGUUAGGUAGGCCAUGGCAAUAUGAUCGAAGGGUUAGGCAUGAUGGGUUUAGAAAUUGGUAUAGCUUUGAAAUGAGUGGAAAAUCUAUUACGCUUGUACCAAUGACGCCGUAACAAGUGUAUGAUGAUCAAGUGAGGUUGAGAGGUGAGAAUGUGAGAAAAAAAUAAAGAUAAACAAAACGAGAGCUCAAGAGAAAAUGGAGAGGUGGUUAGGAGUGAUAAAAAUUGAGUAGGGCCACAAGAAAGAAAAGAACGAGCACUUGAGUGAAGAGAGAAUUAUAAAGCGAGUUUCUUCACGAAAAAAGGUGAGUCUGAGUGGGAGUUGGAGAGGUCUAACACAUCCUUCCCUAUUUUGUAUAACUUUUUGAUGCAGGACUAUGAGACGUUGAUGCAUUCGAAUUUUCAUAAAGGGAUAACACCUUUUGAAUAUCCGAUUGAUGCAUCGCAUUUGGAGAGCAUCAUGAACUUCGACGAUGGGACUAUCUUUCAUGGCGUUACAAAGUUCAAAAAUAUCAAACAACGAGUGGACACGGGCCAAGUAUUAGAACAAGGUGCAGAUUCGAGGUUGAAUCCUCUUGAAAAGGGAGGGGAUGAUGUGAUACGGGUUUCGCCAAAAUGAACCAAAGCAUUGGAGUUUGAUUGGAAGAAACCUAAACCAAGUUCGGGUCUUCGGGAAGCUAAUACGGGUGGCACAAUUGAUGGAUCGAGGCAUGAAGCAUACUAUGUUGAAGUCCAUGAGCUAAGUGACAACUUUCGUGUUGGGGUCGAAGUCCGGAAGCCUAUGAAAUAACGUGAUUCAAGCAGCCGAAGAAGGGACCAAACCAUAACUCCAUGCAACCACACCAUGUCGCAGGCAUGCAGUCGCACAGGUGGCUACCGAAACUCAAGAGGCGGCAACAUCUUCAACCAUGCGACCGCACCAAGUUCUACCAUGCGAUCGCAUGGGCAAAACUGAAGACGCGAAUUUUCAGCUUUUGCGAGAAUUUUAAUUUGAUUCAAUUUCUUAUUUUUGGCAAGUUUCAUUACUUUAGGACUCUAGAAUUUCGUGGUUUCCUUGUUUCCUAGGGUAGUAUAAAUUAUUUUCUAUCUUUCAUUAUUGAACAGACUUUGAUUUGAGAAUUAAUUCAGAGAGGCGAUUUGCUUCUAAACCUUUUUUCUUCGAGACUUCAAACUUAUCAAGGGAUCCGUUUGGGAUUUCUUGUAGCGUUCGCAACCUUGGGUGAGGUUCUUAAAUUGUGUAAUUAGGAGGUCUUCGAUUUAAUAUAUCGUUGGUUGCCUAAUUCAUCGUUUAGGAAUUAAAUCCGUAAACUUCGAACAAAUUGGCGUUCUUGGGAUUGGUGUUACUCUCGUGUGGGUUCAAUAGUGUUCGUUGUUAUUCGGGUUCGCAUCA
rnacentral:lncRNA from 1 species